rnacentral:rRNA from 1 species
UACGGAGGGGGCUAGCGUUGUUCGGAAUUACUGGGCGUAAAGCGCACGUAGGCGGCUUUGUAAGUUAGAGGUGAAAGCCCAGGGCUUAACCUUGGAAUUGCCUUUAAGACUGCAUCGCUAGAAUUGUGGAGAGGUAAGUGGAAUUCCGAGUGUAGAGGUGAAAUUCGUAGAUAUUCGGAAGAACACCAGUGGCGAAGGCGACUUACUGGACACAUAUUGACGCUGAUGUGCGAAAGCGUGGGGAGCAAACAGG